AAGACUAUACUUUCAGGGAUCAUUUCCAUAGUUUGUUACUGGAGAAGUUUCUCUGAACGUGUUGAUGGCACCACCCGCUGUGCUUGCCUUCUGGUGGG
rnacentral:snoRNA from 2 species